GACGAACGCUGGCGGCGUGCCUAAUACAUGCAAGUAGAACGCACAGUUUAUACCGUAGCUUGCUACACCAUAGACUGUGAGUUGCGAACGGGUGAGUAACGCGUAGGUAACCUGCCUGGUAGCGGGGGAUAACUAUUGGAAACGAUAGCUAAUACCGCAUAAUAUUAAUUAUUGCAUGAUAAUUGAUUGAAAGGUGCAAUUGCACCACUACCAGAUGGACCUGCGUUGUAUUAGCUAGUAGGUGAGGUAACGGCUCACCUAGGCGACGAUACAUAGCCGACCUGAGAGGGUGAUCGGCCACACUGGGACUGAGACACGGCCCAGACUCCUACGGGAGGCAGCAGUAGGGAAUCUUCGGCAAUGGACGAAAGUCUGACCGAGCAACGCCGCGUGAGUGAAGAAGGGUUUCGGAUCGUAAAGCUCUGUUGUAAGAGAAGAACGGGUGUGAGAGUGGAAAGUUCACACUGUGACGGUAUCUUACCAGAAAGGGACGGCUAACUACGUG
rnacentral:rRNA from 1 species